UAGGUGAGUUACGAAAGUUGGAGAGUUCAGUUAUAAGCCAGAAAAAAAAUCAGAUUUUGUACAAAUACCUACCAAAUUAAAUACAAUAAUACUAAAAGAAAAAAAUAUUGUCAAUAUUGUGAUAAAAAAGGAUUCCCUGGGAGGUUUCAUCCAGAGGCAAUGUGUCGUUUAAAGCAAAAAGAUAGAAGGACAAUACAAGAAAACAAAUCAAACGAUAUUCAAUAUGUAAAUAAUAUUGCUAUACAGGAGACAUUAAAUGAAACGGUAACCGACCAAAAAAACUGAAUUUGCUGCCAUUGAUCAAAUUAAAAGUAUUCCUAAAUAAUAGAGAAUUAUGCGGAAUCUAUGACCCAGGUUCGAAUGUUACUCUUCUGAAUUCGAAGGUAGCAGGUAAUUUGGGAUUAGUUAUUCAUGAAGAUAGGAAUAUGUUUAAAACGAUAAAUGGCAGAACAAAUUUUACAGGAAAACUAAUUGCAAAAAUGAAAAUUAAUAAAA
rnacentral:lncRNA from 1 species